UACAGAGGGUGCGAGCGUUGUCCGGAAUCACUGGGCGUAAAGAGCUCGUAGGCGGCCUGUUGCGUCCGCUGUGAAAGCCCGGGGCUUAACCCCGGGUCGGCAGUGGAUACGGGCAGGCUAGAGGUAGGUAGGGGAGAAUGGAAUUCCCGGUGUAGCGGUGAAAUGCGCAGAUAUCGGGAGGAACACCGGUGGCGAAGGCGGUUCUCUGGGCCUUACCUGACGCUGAGGAGCGAAAGCGUGGGGAGCGAACAGG
rnacentral:rRNA from 1 species